CCUACGGGUGGCAGCAGUGGGGAAUAUUGGGCAAUGGGCGCAAGCCUGACCCAGCAACGCCGCGUGAAGGAAGAAGGCUCUCGGGUUGUAAACUUCUUUUCUCAGGGACGCAGCAAGUGACGGUACCUGAGGAAUAAGCCACGGCUAACUACGUGCCAGCAGCCGCGGUAAUACGGCGGUGGCAAGCGUUAUCCGGAUUUACGGGGUGUAAGGGGCGAGUAGGCGGGGACGCAAGUCAGAUGUGAAAACCACGGGGUCAACCUGUUGCCUGCAUUUGAAACUGCGUUUCUUGAGUACUGGAGAGGCAGACGGAAUUCCUGGUGUAGCGGUGAAAUGCGUAGAUAUUAGGAGGAACACCAGUGGCGAAGGCGGUCUGCUGGACAGCAACUGACGCUGAGGCGCGAAAGCGUGGGGAGCAAACAGGAUUAGAUACCCUUGUAGUC
rnacentral:rRNA from 1 species